AUAAAUAACAAACUUAACAUAAUUAAGGAUUUAUGGCAAGAUGGUAGUGAAAUGUAGUUUAAAGAUUAGAUUUGUAAUUAGCAACUAAGUGAAGGGGGUAAAGUGCAAAGUGAUUAAACUUAAAUUAGUUGAAAAAAAAAACAAAACAAAUUAAACCCCAAACACAGUGAGUGUGUCUGGGGGAACGAUCGAACAAGGAAUGAGGAGGGGGAAACCCUAAACUCAAGAAAUCAAGCAAUUGAAGCCUAAAAUCAUAAGAAAAUCCAGUGCAUGAGCCAUCUUAUCGAUCAUCUAAGCAUACCUAGUGAAGUGGAACGUGUCAAGGUGAGCUCAAGCAUAGGAGGAUAACGGGUCAAGAUAAGGCAAGGUGACAAAUACACUUAUUGGAGUACUCAAGGUUAUGAAUGUCGGACUUUCGAAGUGUUGAUAUAAUAAUGAAACGGUUGAAUGUUGAAAGGAUAAUCGGAUUGAAGUAACUUAUGCGGUUAGAAUAUGCUAUGGACGUUUUAGUUUAUACAACAUUUUAUGUUUGGUCGUCAUCAUCUACCAACGGGUAAAUCCUCAAUUCAGGCGACUUGGAGAAUCGGAGCGAGCGCGUGUUCAUGUUAUGUCAUACCAAACGCUUCCGCUAGCUUGUUCAAAUGUUUUUAGUCCAAAAUUUGUUGUUUUGGUUCUUAGUAGUAUUUUGUCGAAUGAAUCGUAGAAUUGUAUCUAGUUUGUUUAUGUUUAAAACAGGGGUAUGCUCGUUUUAUGGACGGGUCAUGCCCAAUUUUUGUUAAAUUAAUGCACCUGCGUUAUUGAUAUUAUCAUUUAAAAUUCCGAAAAGUUGGACACUUUUAAGAAAAUUUUUAUAUUUCUAGUGUCCUUUAGUCGUCUUUUAUUAGACGCAAACGCGGACGUAACAAGUUGGUAUCAGAGCCUAGGUUUGAGGGAUUCGAGCAAGAGUAAUAGUGCUUGAACUCAAACCGAAGGCUCGUGCAAAAGUGUGCUCGCUCCAAGAUCGCCAAUGAGGUAAUACACUAAGUUCUCGGUAAGAAUAAUAGUAUGUGUAAUAUGUUUCGAAUGCAAAAUAGAAGCUAAGUUUAUAGAUGAAUAGAUAGGGAGGCCAUACGGAGAUUUCGAGAACCGUAUGGCUGGAAAUAUGCACAGGAAAUGGACAAGGUAACAAAAAAAUGACACAGCAGCGUUUCAGCAUUUCGACAGGCCGUCGCCGACGCCGUUAUUGUGCGUCGCCGACGCCCCCAAAUGGCCGACGGCUUAAUUUGCUGCUUACGGGCUUUUCUAACCGACGGACAUUUACAGAAACCGUCGCCGACGGACCUUCCGGCCGUCGCCGACGCCAUGCACAAAUCUCAGUUAUUGUCUUGUUUUGUUUAUCGUAUUUUGAGUCUCCGAAUUGUUUAAAGACCUAUUAAACGCUCAUGUAAGGGCCAUAUAAGGCCUAAUAAGAUAUGUGAGACCACGCAUAGUGGUUACAAUGGAACGAAAUUGUAAAAGAUGAAAGUAAGGUGUCUAAGGACACGAACAAAUGAUAAAGUCUAGAAUAUAAGAAUGUGAAUAUAGUAAAGUCGGACUAAUGAACUAUGAUGUGUUGAAAGCUUAUGAUCCGUAUUAAAUGUAAACAUGAUAUUGUGUAGAUGGCUGAUGCAAGCAACGUUAAUGAUGAUGAUGAUACUAUUCGUCAAGAAGCAUUAUUCAACAAGAUCACAGAAGUGGCGGAAGGGAUGAUCCGUGAACGCGGUCUAGGACCGACAUCAAGGUAAGUAAUAAGAUGAAUUGACCCCUGGUACGUAAACUCAACGCGUGGAUGUAUGAAAUGGUAUGAUUAGGCAAGUGAAAGAAAAUUCUAAAUGAAUAUAAUAACAACAUGGUAAGGAAGUUUUAAAAAUGUAACACGUGCCGAAACUUAAUUCUUCGGGCAUAAUGUGGCGAUUACACGAAGACACGAAACUAGUACGUGGAUUGUGUAUCUGGCCAGUACACAAGAAAUAUAUGACGUUCGUGAGACCGCGGUAAUUGUUACAGGUAUGUCCGUUAGAAUUGGGUAGCAGGUGGGCGUAUGGGUGAAAUGAGUAGUAAGACUCUCGGGAGAUUGAGAGUAUUACGUAAGGGUAAAAAGUGCAAGUGAUAAGAAUAAAAUGUUGAAUCCGUAAAAAGUACAGACCAACAAUGUAUGAAUGCAAUGUUUGAAUCCGCGAGACGGAUUCAAGGAAUGCAAGAUACGAAUGCGAUGCUUGAAUCCGCGAGACGGAUUCAAGGAAUGCAAGAUACGAAUGCGAUGCUUGAAUCCGCGAGACGGAUUCAAGGAAUGCAAGAUACGAAUGCGAUGCUUGAAUCCGCGAGACGGAUUCAAGGAAUGAAGGAUACGAAUGCAAUGCUUGAAUCUGCGAGACGGAUUCAAAGAAUGAAAUAUAUGGAUGCACUGCUUGAAUCCGUGAGACGGGUUCAAGGAAUGAAAGGCAUGAAUGCAAUGUUCAAAUCCGCGAAGCGGACUUAAGGUAUAAAAAGGGUGAAACUAGUCUACAUAAGAAGAAGUCGAUAGCUUGACCAUGUUAAGUAAAUACAAAGCAAAUGAGCAAAAGAACGAUAAGAAUGAAAAUAUUCGAAUGUGUAAGUAAUUACGGACCGAACAAGUAAAUAUUCCUUAAGUAAUAUGACCCAAAUUAUGUUUAAACUUACAUAUAAAUAUAUAUAUAUAUAUAUAUAUACAUGAAUAUAUUUAUGCAAAUGCGUUGUAUGCAAGUAUGGUAGAAGUAUUAAAUGGGACAUACGGGUCAGAUGGCGAUCGCCAUUUGAACUCGGUAGUUAAUGAUUUGAGUUGUUAAGUUUUAUACUCAUAGAUGAGCUUGAAGAAUAGAGACGCAAUGUCACUAAUCGGAAAGGAAUGAUCAUCGUAAGGCAUGGAUAAUGAAUCAAUGGAAUUUACUUCCGUCAGGUAUGUUCGUGAUGAUUGUCGAGUGGUAUAGAACUUGAAUGCUCGUAACUGUGGAAAUUCUGAUAGAAUGUAAGAGACGGCAAGUAUCAUUAAGAAAUACUAACCUUGAUGCUCGGCUUGUUGGUCAUGUUCAUUUGAACAAGACAUUGUAGAAAAGAUAAGCAUGGCAUAAAUAACAGUAGUAACCAUGGAAAUAAUGCUUAGUUUUCGUGUUAAGUAUGGAUACCUGAGUUUAAGAGAGGUGAUUUUGGUUGUAACAAUAAGUCUUUGAAUGAUUAUAAUAUGCGUAUGAUAAUAUAUCGACCCCUCCUAUGAGCUUAAGGGUAAUCAGAAGUAAAGAUAGUAAUGGAAUGUUUAGGAUGGCUCAUAGUGAACAAAAUGAAAGAUAGCAUAUGAUGUAUGAGUAGAAUGAAAUAAAUCGACUUAUUUCAAUUAGUAAACAUAUGAAUGUAAUAUGCUUAAAUAGGAUGUUAGAAACAAGCCAUAGACUUAGUUUGUAUGGUUAAUAAUUGUAUACAAUUGAAAUAAAUUCGAUGAAUGAAGCGCUAGUGAUGGUAUGUGCUAGGAGCUAGCAGUAUAAAGUGAAAACGACACUAAUAAGAGCUCUGGAUCAGAUUCUGACUUUAAUGCGAUUAAGAAAGUAAUUUACUUGAUUUAAGAACGGAGGGACAAUGCGUACAAAGACGUUUAUGAAUGAAUGAAACUCUUGCCAAGAUCUCGAAUACAUCCAUGUGGUGUUAAGCCUCGUGAAUGAAAAGAUGAAAAAGUAGGAAUAGAAUUGGUCCAGUUGAAAUGAGAAAGGUUUCGGGGACGAAACCUCUUUUAAGGGGGGUAGAUUUGUAACGCCCCAAAAAUGAGAACUCAAUAAAACAAGUGAGGAUAAAUAACAAACUUAACAUAAUUAAGGAUUUAUGGCAAGAUGGUAGUGAAAUGUAGUUUAAAGAUUAGAUUUGUAAUUAGCAACUAAGUGAAGGGGGUAAAGUGCAAAGUGAUUAAACUUAAAUUAGUUAAAAAAAAAACAAAACAAAUUAAACCCCAAACACAGUGAGUGUGUCUGGGGGAACGAUCGAACAAGGAAUGAGGAGGGGGAAACCCUAAACUCAAGAAAUCAAGCAAUUGAAGCCUAAAAUCAUAAGAAAAUCCAGUGCAUGAGCCAUCUUAUCGAUCAUCUAAGCAUACCUAGUGAAGUGGUAAGUCGAAUUUCUGGAUUUGGUGAAUUGUAGAAAAAGGGUUUCAACCCAAUCAUAAAUUCGUGGUAUGAUUUGUGUUAAUUAGAUGUUAGGGUUACUCCCUAGAGUGGAAAAUCAUGUUUGAUUUUAGUUAAAUUGAAAGAAAAAUUUAUAAACCUACUUGUAGUAGUAGAGAUGAUGAUAUGGAUGAUUAUACAUGUUCAAUGCUUGUGUGAUGUUGAUACUUGAUGUUGAUUGUAAGAAGUAAUUGUUAGAUAAUGGUAUAAAAGUUAUAUAAUUCUAGUUGAAAUUGAUAAUCAAUGUUAUGAACUAGGAAGAGUAUGCAUAAAAUACUUGUACUUAUGCUUAAAUGAUGGCAUGCACGCCAAGUGUUUGAUAAAAUGCCUACAAAGUUUGUGUAAAAUAGUUACUUUUGACAGCCUUAGAUAGUCAUCUUGUAAAGGCCGUAUCUCAUUCGUUAUUAAGAGUUAGACAACGAGCCUUAUAUCGUUGAAAAGGUUGUUUCGCAUAUUACAUUUCAUAUUUGGUCAUAAGAGGCUGGUUAUGAGAUUUAGUGGGUCAAAACAGCAUGAAAAGUUAGUAAAUUCGUUUUGACAGCAAGCUGUUUGGAAGCAUUUCAGCUUCUGUGCUGAUUUUGUAAAAAUCAUAUAAAAUCAUAGGAAUGUCCGAUUGUUACGAUCUUUAUAUGCUUAGAAAGAUCUCUGAGUGUAGAUCAUUUCAUAUUUGAACAUGAAGAACUGAAUCAGAAGAUAAAUGGGUUAAAAUGUGUCGUGAACAGCUGCUGCGCAGAAAGUUGCUGCACAUUUUUAGUAUAAAUAUUAAGUAAAAAUAGUUGUAUUGUUAUGCACACUUGUAUGAAUCAUGAACUACUGAUUUUAAUAAAUUAUUAGUAAGUUAUUUGAUUGUUUUAAGUGUCUAAAACACUUACCAACUAGUCUAUGCAUAUGAUUGCACCAACGGAUCGAAACGGGUUGUUGAUAGAAAAUAGUAGAAUGGAUGUGUAAAAACCAAGGUGUUAAGAAAUGGUAUGAAAUGUUUAAUGUAUGAAACAAGUUGCCUAACUUAGAAAAUGUUAUCAUUCUAAGUAUGGAAUUUUGAAAGAAUAAUGAACAUGAUGUAAAUACAUAAUUAUGCAUGCUAGAAGCUCAUGUAUGACUUUUGUGAUGAUGGAAUGAUAAAUUGUUAAAUUGAUUAGCAUUGUAGUAUUGUGAUACAUGUUGAACUCGUUAAGCGAUUGACACGUGAAUAGAAGUGUGAUUAGUGAUGCGUAUGAUUACGUAUACUAACUAUUGAAUGGAUGUAAUGGAAUGAGAUAAUAGGAACGUGUCAAGGUGAGCUCAAGCAUAGGAGGAUAACGGGUCAAGAUAAGGCAAGGUGACAAAUACACUUAUUGGAGUACUCAAGGUAAGUGAUUUCUAUAAUCACUUCUUUAGUUGUUUAAGUAAUAUAAUGUUUUAAUUAUUAAGUUCAUAUGAAGUUGAGGUCAAAUCAAUAGAUUAUUUUGAUAAAUGCACGAAUGGGUCGAAUAAUUCAUAGAUGAAUAACAAGCCGAAUACGUUUAAGUUAAGAAAUUCCUUAACUCGGAUGUUGGACUUCAAGAUCACAUGAUAGAAUAUUAAAUUACAAUCAUAUAGGAAGAAACGUGACGCAAAACGGAUGAAAAAUGAGAGAGUUAUGUCCGUUACGGUAAGGAUUAAUGGCUAGGAAAAGUGCAGAGUUGACACGGCCGGGUGGUGAACUGACACGGCCGGGUGAAGGUUCUGUCAAAAAUAUUAUUUAUGUGAUUUAUGCGCCGUAGGCUUCGGUAUAUUAUCCGUGAACUACGACGGGCCUCCCAAACAUGAUUUCGAGUGUUUCCUUGACGAUUAUAAGUUGUAAACCCAAGUCUAAGCCUCAUGUAAUUUAUAUAAGAGUGUGAUAGAUGUAUGUAAUGAAGUUGGACAUGUAUUACAUGUAAAUGUAUACAAAAAUACGUACGGAACACGUAGAUAUGAAUACAUGAUUGUAGGUAUGAUUAAAUGUAUAUUAGGUAUGUAGAUGUGUAUGAUUGUAAGUUUGUAUGUGUGCAAGUAUGUGCGAAUGCAUGAUUUGGAUGCAUUUGAGAAUUAGCGUUACUAAUAAUGCCCUUGGGUUUGGAAUAUAAGUUAAAUGGAUGCAUUUAAAUGGUUGACGUCCUUUUUAUGAAGAUGUAGUAAAUGAAUAUGUUGAGAUUACGGGUUUGGCUAACCAAGUUAUUAUUGAGUAUGUUUGAAAGUGCAGGUUAUGAAUGUCGGACUUUCGAAGUGUUGAUAUAAUAAUGAAACAGUUGAAUGUUGAAAGGAUAAUCGGAUUGAAGUAACUUAUGCGGUAAAUCCUCAAUUCAGGCGACUUGGAGAAUCGGAGCGAGCGCGUGUUCAUGUUAUGUCAUACCAAACGCUUCCGCUAGCUUGUUCAAAUGUUUUUAGUCCAAAAUUUGUUGUUUUGGUUCUUAGUAGUAUUUUGUCGAAUGAAUCGUAGAAUUGUAUCUAGUUUGUUUAUGUUUAAAACCGGGGUAUGCUCGUUUUAUGGACGGGUCAUGCCCAAUUUUUGUUAAAUUAAUGCACCUGCGUUAUUGAUAUUAUCAUUUAAAAUUCCGAAAA